CGAGCGAUCUUCUUCGGAAGAGAGCGGCGGACGGGUGAGUAACGCGUGGGUAACCUGCCCUGUACACACGGAUAACAUACCGAAAGGUAUGCUAAUACGGGAUAACAUAAGAAAUUCGCAUGUUUUUCUUAUCAAAGCUCCGGCGGUACAGGAUGGACCCGCGUCUGAUUAGCUAGUUGGUGAGGUAACGGCUCACCAAGGCGACGAUCAGUAGCCGACCUGAGAGGGUGAUCGGCCACAUUGGAACUGAGACACGGUCCAAACUCCUACGGGAGGCAGCAGUGGGGAAUAUUGCACAAUGGGCGAAAGCCUGAUGCAGCAACGCCGCGUGAGCGAUGAAGGCCUUCGGGUCGUAAAGCUCUGUCCUCAAGGAAGAUAAUGACGGUACUUGAGGAGGAAGCCCCGGCUAACUACGUGCCAGCAGCCGCGGUAAUACGUAGGGGGCUAGCGUUAUCCGGAUUUACUGGGCGUAAAGGGUGCGUAGGCGGUCUUUUAAGUCAGGAGUGAAAGGCUACGGCUCAACCGUAGUAAGCUCUUGAAACUGGAGGACUUGAGUGCAGGAGAGGAGAGUGGAAUUCCUAGUGUAGCGGUGAAAUGCGUAGAUAUUAGGAGGACACCAGUAGCGAAGGCGGCUCUCUGGACUGUAA
rnacentral:rRNA from 1 species